UACGUAGGUGGCAAGCGUUGUCCGGAUUUACUGGGCGUAAAGGGCGUGCAGGCGGUUUGUUAAGUGCAGGGUGAAAGCUCCCGGCUCAACUGGGAGAGGUCCUUGCAUACUGGCGAACUCGAGGGAGGCAGAGGAAAGUGGAAUUCCCGGUGUAGUGGUGAUAUGCGUAGAUAUCGGGAGGAACACCUGUGGCGAAGGCGGCUUUCUGGGCCUUACCUGACGCUGAGACGCGAAAGCCAGGGGAGCGAACGGG
rnacentral:rRNA from 1 species